GAUGAACGCUGGCGGCGUGCCUAAUACAUGCAAGUCGAGCGAACAGACGAGGAGCUUGCUCCCCUGACGUUAGCGGCGGACGGGUGAGUAACACGUGGAUAACCUACCUAUAAGACUGGGAUAAUUUCGGGAAACCGGAGCUAAUACCGGAUAAUAUAUUGAACCGCAUGGUUCAAUAGUGAAAGUCGGUUUUGCUGCCACUUAUAGAUGGAUCCGCCCCGCAUUAGCUAGUUGGUAAGGUAACGGCUUACCAAGGCAACGAUGCGUAGCCGACCUGAGAGGGUUAUCGGCCACACUGGAACUGAGACACGUCACAGACUCCUACGUGAGGAAGCAGUGGGUAUUCUGUCACAAUGCAGGAGAGCCUAACAGUGCAACGUCGCGUGAGUAGUGAUGGUCUUCGGAUCGUGAAGCACUGUUAUUGGGUAGGAACAAAUGUGUGAGUCACUCUGCUCGUCUUGACGGUACCUAAUCCGAAAGCCCCGGCUAACUACUUG
rnacentral:rRNA from 1 species